CAAAUCCACAGGAUUAUACCAAGAAAACAAUAGCAUAGUUCAAAUCUAGAGCCCUUGCAGGCUCAAUGCGAACACCUAUUCCAUCUAAACGUCUUUCGCUCCUAUAUGAUGGACAUU
rnacentral:snoRNA from 1 species